UACGUAGGGUGCGAGCGUUAAUCGGAAUUACUUGGCGUAAAGCGUGCGCAGGCGGUUCGUUAAGUCCGAUGUGAAAGCCCCGGGCUCAACCUGGGAACUGCAAUUGAAACUGGCGGGCUUGAGUGUGGCAGAGGGGGGUGGAAUUCCGCGUGUAGCAGUGAAAUGCGUAGAGAUGCGGAGGAACACCGAUGGCGAAGGCAGCACUCUGGGCCGGAACUGACGCUGAGGAGCGAAAGCGUGGGGAGCGAACGGG
rnacentral:rRNA from 1 species